rnacentral:antisense_RNA from 1 species
UUCGCGGUGUACGCCCAGAUCGGGUCGGCCUCGAUCAGCACCCGCUCGCCGAACACCUCCCCGUCGGCCAUCACGCCCAGGCUCAGCGGGUCACCGUAGGCGCCGACGCCCACCUUGACGACCUUGCCGUGCGCGAUCAGGUACAUGUUGUCGGCCACCGACCCGAACUCGACGAUCACCUGCCCCGGCUCGUACUCCUGCUGCUCGAACCGGCCCGCGAUCCCAUUCAGCAGCUCCAUGUCGUCGAUCCCGGCGAGCACCGCGAUCUCCCGCAGCUCGUCCGGCACCACCUGCACCGUCGAACCGGUGUUGAUGAAGGUGAGCCGGCCGUCGCCGAUCCGGUAGGUCAUCCGGCGGUUCACCCGGUAGGCGCCACCUUUCACCUCCGUCCACGGCAGCUUGCGCAGCAGCCACCGUGAGGUGAUCUCCUGCAUCUGCGGGACCGACUUGGUGGUGUUGGUCAGAUUCCGGGCCGCCGUGGUGCUCAGGCUCUGCUGGUACUGCUGG